UUUAUAGAUCAAUAAUGUCAUCAAAAAACCUAACGAACCUGAACAACUUCCAUGAUAGUCUUAACAACCGAAGAAGAAAGCCAACAAACUCGGUCAAACACGUGUCAAAAGACUAACAACAUAUGAUCAACCACAAAUUGUUCUCUACUGCUCCACCUCCAAGUAGCGCACAAACACAUACAAAAAUCACAACAAACACUAGAUAUUUGGAACAAACCAAAUAUACAAAACAAGAUGUAGAUAUUUAGAACAAACCAAAUAUACAAAACCGCAAUAGUAUUGAGUAAAGUAGUAUUAUUAUCAAUACAACAAUAAGAAUUGUGUCGUUCUAAAAAAAUUAAAAUACAAUAAAAAUAACAAAAAAGUCUAAAUAUAUAGAAUUUUCAGCCGUCAUCACCAUUCACCGCGCCGCCGCUGUCACUACCUCCUCCACCACCACCACAACCAUCUCCGUACUCCCCAACUCCUCCACCUCUACCUUCUCCACCAUCUCCUCCUCCUCGCGUUCGUAAGUAUGGACACGACUAACUCCGCCUCCUCCACCACUACCACCCCUGGCUACGUUCCAUGUAGACCAACAACCCUCUGUAAUCAUCACCGCAAAAUAAACAACCCAUAGAAUAAAGUAAAUAAUAAAAGGGUCGAUCAUAUCUCUAAAAUAGGAAAACCAGUUUGAGCAGAACGAAAACAAAUUAAUAAGAACGCAGAAUAUGUUUUCUUUCAUAACCAACA
rnacentral:lncRNA from 1 species